UAUAAAAUGAGCUGCUCGUAUUGCGUAGAUAAUCCUUUCUACUACAGUUUUUUAGAAAGAUAUAACGUUAGCAAUGGACAACUGAAAAUAUGUUGCUACUGCUCUCAAUAACAUCGAUGCCCUGAAUUUAUCAGGCGCUAUCCACAAAGAACAUGUUUUGAAAUCAGUGGAACACAACUGGCCAAACAAGUUGUGCAAACUAAACCGAAACAACACAGGAUGUCUGAUAAAAGGGUUGCAGUCUGCCGUGAAGCUUUCAUCCAUGUAUACAGAGUUGGGAAAACGCGUGUGGACCUGAAUUGUGAUAACUGCAGUGGCC
rnacentral:lncRNA from 1 species